rnacentral:rRNA from 1 species
AGAGUUUGAUCAUGGCUCAGGAUGAACGCUAGCUACAGGCUUAACACAUGCAAGUCGAGGGGCAGCAUUGGGGUAGCAAUACUUCAGAUGGCGACCGGCGCACGGGUGAGUAACACGUAUCCAACCUGCCGCUUACUCGGGGAUAGCCUUUCGAAAGAAAGAUUAAUACCCGAUGGUAUAAAGAGUUCGCAUGUUCUCUUUACUAAAGAAUUUCGGUAAGCGAUGGGGAUGCGUUCCAUUAGAUAGUUGGCGGGGUAACGGCCCACCAAGUCUACGAUGGAUAGGGGUUCUGAGAGGAAGGUCCCCCACAUUGGAACUGAGACACGGUCCAAACUCCUACGGGAGGCAGCAGUGAGGAAUAUUGGUCAAUGGACGAGAGUCUGAACCAGCCAAGUAGCGUGAAGGAUGACUGCCCUAUGGAUUGUAAACUUCUUUUAUAAGGGAAUAAAGUGAGGGACGUGUCCCUUUUUGUAUGUACCUUAUGAAUAAGGAUCGGCUAACUCCGUGCCAGCCGCAGC